rnacentral:piRNA from 1 species
UUGUGGGUAGCCAUUUAUUGAAUUCAACUUUU